CUCUGUGUCUCACUAGGUGGCAGUGUAUGAUUAUAUCUGGAAAAACCAUGGCUUCAAGUCCAGAAUCUCCAGCUGUGACCUCCAAAAGCAAAAUGAAAUUUCUGUGUCUGCACUUGGUCCAGGAGAUAUUAUUUCUCAUGUAUCUAUAUACACCGUUUAUCCCAGUGGAUUCCAAGAGCUGUACCGCCAUUUUCUCAGACUCCCCAGUGGUGCCAUUGUUGAGGUGUUUGGUGAUAUCAGUGGCCUAAGGUUUAUCCCCACGGAAGUGGCCACAGCAAUUCAGGAGCAUAUAAGCGAAAUGGAUGGUACAUUGGAAGACUCCUUUGAUAUUAAAUCAAGAGAAAUGAAAAGAAUCCAUUAAAAUUAAAAGGAAUUGGUGGUCCCAAUGAAAGAAGUGGCGUAAUUAAGAGAAGCAAUAUUUUCUGGCCCCUGAAAGAUGCCCAUAUCCACAGUGUAUUUCUUAAUCCAAGGAGUCUCUCACUACAUUAUUUCAGCAUAUAAGUUGUUCAGUGUUUUUAAAUGGAAGUCUGUAGUGUUUUGUUGCUCUCAUUGCUUCAUAUAUGUUUUCCUUGCCAUUGAACUUGUCUUACUGAGCAGCAAGCAUUAAGUAAUAGAUUCAACAUACGAGUCAUUCUAACACUUAUAUAACAUGAUGUGUAUGUUUGCACGCUCGUGCAUGUGUGUCUGUGUGUGUCCGUGUGUGUGCUUAUGUGUUGAGUAGAGAUUGACUAACAUGUUUUUCAGGAGUUUUCUUUUGUUGCUGAAUAUUCAUGGGCUCAGUGAUAUAAUUCAAUCUAACACUCAAGAAUUUGGUACUAUCUUACCUCUGAAGUAAAUAUCACAUUUGCA